rnacentral:lncRNA from 1 species
UCGGCCUGCCCUCGGCCUGCCCCGGGUCGGGCCGCUGCUGCGGGGCCUGCGGGGCCGGCGGCGCGGCGCGGGGUCGCGGCUUCCCGCCUCCCGCCUCCCGUAGUGCGCGGGACUUGCCUUUUUAAUCGCCACGGUCCGGGCUUGCGGUGGAUCCCUCACCGCUACAUCGUGUUAACUUGCUAAACAAUCUUUUUUUCUUUCUGCAAAUGCCCUGCAGGCCAACCGCAAUCCCAUUGCGACCUCGUCUUUUUAAUCCCGUGCCUUGCUCCGCCAGGCCUGCGGGUGCACCGCCUUCGCCUCGCCGAGGCCAGGCACGAGGAAGAAGCGUAGUUUAGGGCCAAAUUCCAAGUUACAAGCACCGGAAAAGGGAGAACUCGGUUUGUCCAGGAAUCCCCCAAGAAGGCCUUCAAAGACCUGGGCAAAGCAGAGGACUGUUAAAGAAGGGGAGGAUGGGGGGGAUGGGUAUAAUAGGACUAAUGCACCUCAGUUCUAUUAUUCUGAACAUUUUUCAAGACGAUGAAGAUGCACAAAAGGAUACAAAAUCACCCUUGUGCUCAUCACCUGGAUUUAAAAACUGUUCCUGUCCACGCGCAUGUGGAAUUUAGGAAGCAAAACAGGCAUAUAUUUGGAAACCCUUUAGGUGGCCUACUCUUCAGUUUUCAGAAAAGUGGCAAGACAAUAGGACUUUCAUGAUAAAAUCAUAGAAGAUUAUCAAGUUAAAACAGAAGGGACCUUUUAUUAGUUUGUCAUUAGCUAUGUUUAUUUUUUAAAUUUUUUAUUAGCUAUGUUUGAAAAAGUUCCAUUAUUAUACACAUUAUUUUCUGUAUGUACAUAUUAAAAAUGUGAUCAGUUUUCUGUUACCAUAUUAUGUGAAAAAACCCGGUCAGAUUCUCACCAGAAUUUGAAAGUAUGUCUGGAAUAGUCAGGCUGAACUUAUAGAAUUGGUAGCAAACAUAAAAUUUAUUUAAGGUAUCCCAGGGAGCACCAUAAAGAUAUAAGCUGAGUCAUCCUCCAGAAAAGCUGUAGCUGAGAUAUAAUAAGAAGCUUAUGUAAUUGCCAAUUGAGAAACAUUCCACCUGUACUAGAUGCUGUGGACAGCAACUAGAAGUUCAAAAGAAAAGGAAAACAAGGUAUUUUAUCAAUCCACUAGAAGAGAAAAAGAAAAAGAGAAAAGAUUGGUAAAUGGGACAUGAGAAUAAUAUGACAGAAAUGAGAUAAAUAUUUCACUAAUCACAAAAUCACCUUCUAGAAGAUUUCAGAUUUGUUACUUGCAAGAGACAUAUAUAAGACAAAACCAUACAAAAGAAUAAAAAUAAAGAAACGAGAAAUACUUGAACA